rnacentral:lncRNA from 12 species
CCCAUCCUGUGGUCCCCGUUUCCCACAGCUCCCCCCAACUCCAACUCCACAGCGCUCGGUCUUGGCUCCUCCCCUCGGGCGCCUUGGAGACUUUUCUUUUCCAUUUUGUCAUCUUGCCCUUCUUAUCAUUUAAUUUAACGUUUUUAAGAUCUUUGCUGUUUCCCUUUUAUUUCAUUUAACGUUAUUUUAUCCCUUUUGUUUUAACAUUUGAUUCCUUUUCAAAUGGAUUUUGUUCUCUCCUUUCUCUGUUUCCGAGUCCCUCCUGUCUUUCUCUGCUCAGGGUUGCCGCUCAUGGCUGUCCCGUCCUCCCAGGUGCCAGAGGCUCCAGUAUGUCCCAAGAGGGAGCGACGCCCCAUCUUGUCCCCACACACCCCCGCCCGCCUGGAGCACCCCAGGCCAGAAUUUGGUGGGAAGCGGGAGCCGAGCUGCUGCUGGCGCUGGGAGAGCGCCGCUGGAGCAGAGGCACUGGCAUGUUCCACAGGCGUGGCCUGGCGCCAAGCUUUGGGGAUAACCUCUGAGGUAAAAGACCCUCUGGAGCAUGCCCCAAAAGUCCUGGGUCUGGAAGGUGCCCCCAGGUACAGCAGCACACAUGGUGGCCAGAUAUGCCUGGUGGAUGGUGGAGCCUGGCUGCAGGCAGGUGUCGAUGUGCACAGACCAUGCUGGAUGAAAACAUAAAUCCGUUCAUGCCAUAUAUGGACCUGCUCCACUAGGUCCUGACAACCUUACCGGGGCAAGAGGCAGGCAAGGUGUGGUUACAGAAGUCCAGUCAGUCUACUGGGGACAUUGAUCUUGUAGGAGAGAAGAUGGGCUAAGAGCUAUUUAUGUGCACACGCAGAACUCCAUAGGUUUGGAGCUCAGUUAUUCUAGGCGAGAACCAUAGAAGUAGAGAAGCACAGAGCUUGAAAGAGAAAUGCCAGAGUUCCUGCUUGAAGCCAGAUGUCUUCUGGGCAGCUCUGGGAAGGGUGUGGCCCUUGUUCAGACGACUUCAGAUGGAUCCGGGCGAAUGCCAGAAGAAGCUGCAGAUCGGUUCACCAAAGUCAGGACUGAGUCUGGAGGAGAAACAGGCAAAAGUAAGGGCCAUGUCUGAGGUCUCUAGCGUGGGAUAGAGAAGGGCAGGCUUGGCCCCUGGGGCUGGCCAGCUGUCACCCUCUCUGGUUGCCCUGUCUUUGACUGGCUUCAGGGUGCCUUUCUUGGUCUUGGUCUUUGCCUCUCUCAGUUUCUCUCUCUGCUCCAUUUGUCGGCCUUCCUUUCAUUGCUUCUUCAGCGCUUUGACUGUUCUGUAUUAUGUGGCCACAAAGAAACACAACCAGAUCCAGGAGCAGAUAAAAAUACGAAUGCAUUUCGUAAAUGGGAGGUCAUUGGUGAUAAAGCCCAUCCAUCUUGCUGGUCUUUGUAUAGUUAUGUGAUAGCACGUUUUCAUGUUUGUGUAAAAAUCUAAGUAUGGCCUCAAAAGUUUGUUUUCUUGCAGUCUUUCAGCAGCUGUCUCUCUGGGUGUCUCUGUCUGUUUCUUUCAAGGACCCUUCCCCUUCUUCAUUAUGCCACUCAAGAACAAUUGGGCCCUCGGACUCCUCUGCUGCAGUUUUGAUACCCUCCCCCCCACAAUAUUGCCUUCUUUGAAGUUUGCCUCAGGUGGGCAAUGGCUUUACUGACACAGAGUUAGCGAGAUGGCCACAUUGCUAGCAGUGCCUGGGGGGUUGUGUUGGCAAUGUGGUGGAGAUGCAAGUAUCUCUAGGGAUGUAAGGAGCCACACAGAGACACUACUUUAUUCCACUCAGGGGAUGGACUAGAGGGAAGGACAUUGGUGAGGCCGUGGGCCAGUGGAAUCCCACCUGGCCAGGAGGGGAAGAGGUCCCCAGGUCAGUUGGGCAAGUCCUGGGAACAAUAUGAAGGAAAAGCAAUAAACCCUGAGAGGUCCUGCUUCCCA